AGCGAACGCUGGCGGCAUGCUUAACACAUGCAAGUCGCACGGGCAGUAGCAAUACUGUCAGUGGCGGACGGGUGAGUAACGCGUAGGAAUCUAUCCUUGAAUGGGGGACAACCGUGGGAAACUACGGCUAAUACCGCAUGAUGCCUGAGGGCCAAAGACGAAAGUCGUUUGAGGAGGAGCCUGCGUCUGAUUAGGUAGUUGGUGGGGUAAAGGCCUACCAAGCCUACGAUCAGUAGCUGGUCUGAGAGGAUGAUCAGCCACAUUGGGACUGAGACACGGCCCAAACUCCUACGGGAGGCAGCAGUGGGGAAUAUUGGACAAUGGGCGCAAGCCUGAUCCAGCAAUGCCGCGUGGGUGAAGAAGGUCUUCGGAUUGUAAAGCCCUUUUGGCGGGGACGAUGAUGACGGUACCCGCAGAAUAAGCUCCGGCUAACUUCGUG
rnacentral:rRNA from 1 species